GGAAACAGAUGCUAAUACCGGAUAAAAGCUACUUUCGCAUGAAAGAAGGUUUAAAAAGGCGGCGUAAGCUGUCGCUAAAGGAUGGACCUGCGAUGCAUUAGCUAGUUGGUAAGGUAACGGCUUACCAAGGCGAUGAUGCAUAGCCCGAGUUGAGAGACUGAUCGGGCCACAUUGGGGACUGAGACACGGGGCCCAAAACUCCGUACGGGGGGAGGGGCAGCAGGGUAGGGGGAAUCUUCCACAAUGGACGAAAGUCUGAUGGAGCAACGCCGCGUGAGUGAAGAAGGUUUUCGGAUCGUAAAGCUCUGUUGUUGGUGAAGAAGGAUAGAGGUAGUAACUGGCCUUUAUUUGACGGUAAUCAACCAGAAAGUCACGGCUAACUACGUGCCAGCAGCCGCGGUAAU
rnacentral:rRNA from 1 species